GCCGCGGCUGUGAGCCUGCGCGUCAGUGCCGCUGGCCUCUCCUUGGCUGUUGGAGGUUUGAGAAACACUGCUUCAAAGGAUUGGUAGGAUUUGGAUAUGUGAGUAAAGGAAGAGGAAGCUGCUGGUGAAGAAGUCCUUUUAAGACAUUGAAAAUAUAGUGAAGAAAGGAGGUUAGCACAACAUUGCCAAUGGCUUCCUGGCGAACAGUGAAGUUCAGCUAGGCUGGAGCACUAGGAAUGUGAAGAACAGAGUAAGAUCCAGAAAGUCAGAUCAGCAUUGAAACAUUGGCUCUACUUGGGUCUUGAGCUUGCAAUCUCGUGGACUAGAACUACACCAGCAGCUCUCCUGGGUCUCCAGUUUGCUGGCUGCAGAUCUUAGGACUUCUCAGCCUCCAUAAUUAUAGAAGGCAUUGGGAGACCAAGAAAUAUUAAUGAACAAAGUUCAAAGUCACAAAGCAGAAGAAAACUAGAACCUGGAUCUGAAUUCAGAGGCAUAAUUCUGGGCAAGUCUGGCAGGAGUUAUCAUUGACCCAUCCGUGGGAACUGGUGCUUAAGGACAGAGCUUCAAUCCCUGUGAAGACCAGAGGAACUGGGAUACCCAGCAGGAAACACAGGGUGGAGACUCAGGCGUGGGAAAACGACAAGGACAAAUCUUUU